rnacentral:rRNA from 1 species
AUUGAACGCUGGCGGAAUGCUUUACACAUGCAAGUCGAACGGUAGAGGGGCAACCCUUGAGAGUGGCGAACGGGUGAGUAAUGUAUCGGAACAUGCCCAGUCGUGGGGGAUAACGUAGCGAAAGUUACGCUAAUACCGCAUAUGAUCUAUGGAUGAAAGCGGGGGAUCGCAAGACCUCGCGCGAUUGGAGUGGCCGAUAUCAGAUUAGGUAGUUGGUGGGGUAAAGGCCUACCAAGCCGACGAUCUGUAGCUGGUCUGAGAGGACGACCAGCCACACUGGGAGUGAGACACGGCCCAGACUCCGACGGGAGGCAGCAGUGGGGAAUUUUGGACAAUGGGCGAAAGCCUGAUCCAGCCAUUCCGCGUGCAGGAAGAAGGCCUUCGGGUUGUAAACUGCUUUUGUACGGAACGAAACGCGCUGUGCUAAUACCACGGCGUAAUGACGGUACCGUAAGAAUAAGCACCGGCUAACUACGUGCCAGCAGCCGCGGUAA